UCUUCCCGUAUUAACGAGUUUACUUUCCUUAACUGCUUAAUCAUUUUACAGCCUUACGGCUUCUUAGUUUCCUCGGCAUUGCUGGAUCAGGAUUGCCCCCAUUGUCCAAAAUUCCCCAGUGCUCCCUCCCGUAGG
rnacentral:rRNA from 1 species